rnacentral:tRNA from 1 species
AUUCAAAUAGUUUAUUUAAAACAUUUUAUUUUCAAUAAAAAAAAAGAUACAAAUCUUAUGAAUA